UACAGAGGUCCCAAGCGUUGUUCGGAUUUAUUGGGCGUAAAGGGUGCGUAGGCGGUUGCCCAAGUCAGAUGUGAAAUCCCGGGGCUCAACCUCGGAACUGCAUUUGAUACUGGGUGACUUGAGUACUGGAGGGGAGACUGGAAUUUACGGUGUAGCAGUGAAAUGCGUAGAUAUCGUAAGGAAGACCAGUGGCGAAGGCGAGUCUCUGGACAGUUACUGACGCUGAGGCACGAAGGCUAGGGGAGCAAACGGG
rnacentral:rRNA from 1 species